rnacentral:misc_RNA from 1 species
UACUACUAAGGCUCAGCCUUGCGGUGGCUCUCCGUUCUGUCGCCUGCUGGGGAUUUUCCCCUGGGAGGUAGAGGGGACGGUAGGCCCAAACCAAUGGGCGUUUUUGCAAUCUGUCCAGCGUAGCAAGUCUCUCGCUGGGUGUGAAAAACAGAAGCGCCACUACAACGAAC